ACGCAGAGUUUGAGAUCCUCUUCUUCCUUUUCUUCUUCAUCGCUUAUCUUCUCUUCAAAGACAUCGUAAGUUUCCCAUUUCUAACCUUCCUUCUUCCCUCCCUUUCAUUUAUCAAUUAUCACUUACCCUCUUGUGCCUUUUCUUCAAAUUUUCAUUCUUUUCUAUCUGGGUACCUGCUAUUGUAGAAUAAUUUAGCUGAAAUUUUAACAUCAUGUGUUAGGAUCUCAAUUAUAUUGGGAAUUGGGAAUUUAUAUAAUUGAUGGGACAAUUUUAUGAAUCAUCUGAGUAUUUGGCAGUGUAGCAUAUAUGUGUUGAAUUAAUUAAUGAAUAGCUUGAUGCAAAUUAUAUUUACACAUAGAGAAGAGAGGUCCAAAACACUACAAGGGUUUCAAAUCUUAAUUUGCUCCAUGAUAAUUGGACAAUGAAAGCAUUUAUUUUUCUUCAGAUUAAUGCAAGGGAAUAAGGGAUACCCUCCUGGUUUAUUUAGAAUAUCUCUUUUGCUUGGAGUGCUUAACAUAAGUUUUAGUGGUUUUACUAGUGUUAGCAUGAAAUUUCAAUAUGCAAAAUGCCCUUGUAUUAUGUUGGCUUACGAGCGUCUCAUGUUUCAAUCAAUUUAUAGUUGAUCUUGAUAACUUGAAAUGCUUGGCAACAUUGAAUUCGUGUGUGUUUGUAUUUGAGUUACUUUCAACACGAAAUUGUUACUUCUACUUUUGGUGUCUUGGAAUGUGUGCAAAGUUGGUUAGAAGCAUAUGAACUGAAUUCCAAACAUAGUCGAACAUGUUAUGUUCUCCAUUAAACUCAGCCGCCUCAUUCCUCAACUUUCAGCCCCAUGUAUCUUAUGAAUUGUGCUUUUAGCAGUGUGUGUUCUAAUAAUUGUUUGCAUCAAUUGCAGACCUCAAGGCCUGAGUACAAUCAAAUGUUUGUAAAGAAGCCUGGUGGACCAGAAUUUUGGCCUUUUUAGAAGGAUGGAUACUUGUUCAGGUUGGCCUUCUAUGCCCGACCUGUGAUGUUUGGAAGAUUUCCUUUUGUAGUUGUAUCUUUAUGUAUGUAACUUGUAGGCGAAACAUGUGAAAGUAUCACAAAUUUGAAAGUAUCACAUUCCACUUAGUUGUAUAUCAAAUUCAACCAAAAAGGUUUACAGCAAUUUGUUUUUUCCUCUUGCUGUCUCUAUUUCAUCUUUAUUCUUAGAUGUGUGUUUUCCCCUAGCCUAAAGAUAGAAGUGUUGGUACGGAUAUCUGCACUCAAAUCUCAGAUGUGGUUACUAAACUCCAUAACCCUAUGAUAUUUUUGUGUUAUAAGAUUCUGUUGAUUAGGGACAGAACCAGAGAAAAUAUGUAAGGGGGUGAAAUUUUAACAUAGUAUUAUGCAAAAUUAACAGUCACUAAUUGAAAUAUGCAGUAUAAAAGUUUCUGACGGCGAAAAUAAAACACUUUUAUAAACUUUUUUUCUCCUGGGGGCUACCACAACAUCUUAGGUCCGCCCCUGCUGAUGACCUUAAUCAGACUUGAUUGAUGAAUCAAAAGCAUUCUUUGAUGCAAGCCACUUUGAUUGACUUUUGUUUGUCGAUUCAUUUAUUAGACAGUUAUUGAUUGCUUGAAGAUUCUUAUGCUUUUUAUUUUACCAGCAACCUGCCUUCCACAGUAUUAAUUUCUCAGUAGUGUUCCUUCGACUGUGGAAGGAUGGCAAGUCCAAGUUUUACCUUAAUGAACAUUAUAGUAUUACAAGUAGCAUUGUCGUUUUCCAUAGAGAAGACAUUGAAAUGCAAACAAGCAUAUAUUUUGCACAAGCAACGUUGAACAAAUAAGAGAUCAAAAGCAGAUGUCUUAAAACAUAUUCAGGAAACAUCUUAGAUAUAAUAGAAAUUAACAUAUGAAUUAUGAAAGCUGAAUAGAGUUUAACCAUCUACGCUAUCUUCUCCACUGGAACUUUAGUUCUGUCCCAGCGUAGUCCAAUAUCAGAAAGCAACCAGCUAGUACAGUAGGAAGCUCAACCAACCCAAUUCAACUGAAGUGGUAAAGAUGCUACAGCACCAGCAACGCAAGAUGCUGCUUUCCCGCCCCCGCUUACACUGAUGUUUUGCCCACAAGAAGCCCUGUCUUGCAGUAAAUUGCAAAGUGUAUACAGUUAUUCUUGAAGACAUGGUACGCGUCAAAUCCGUUCUUAAGAAGAAACCGCGCACGGUUGAGGACUUUUUCAGCUGGGUCAGCAAGGGUGCGGGUACCCCCUUUAACUUUGGCUAGAAAAAACGGACAUGAAUCACCAUACUCAAAGCGAUAAAGAGCACCCCCAGAAAGAAAACACUCCAAGCAUGAAGCGAUUACACCAUCAGUUCUUGUUGGGUCAGCACCACAUGUUGGGCAUGGAAUCUCUGUAGGACAAGAGCGAAGUAAACUUCCAAUGAGACGGUCCAAGACAGUUCCUGUUCCGGUCUGUUGGCCUGCUCCCUUGGUGAAGUGGAUCACCUUUCCCUCUGACAUGAACGGUUGGAGUUCAACUAUACAAGUGUGACAUUGAAUGAAUAAUCAAGAGUUCUCAUUCCAACUCAAAAAUUGACUGAAAACAUAGGUUCUCAGCCCAACUCAAAAUUAAAGUUUGAAAAACACAUACUCAUUCUUACUAUGCAUAAUAUGGAUUAUGGAAAAAAUGUUUUUCUAUUCUAGAACUGUUCUGAAUGAUAUCUAUCUUGUUCUGAACAAAAAGUGUAGUUAAGACUUAAGGUUUGUGAUAUAAUACACAAGUCAUUCACAAAGUUGCAAAUGUGAAAAUUAUGUCUCAAGUUCACAUUAGGAUGAGAAUAAGACUAUGAUAAAAACCUGUAGACGAAUAAUUUUUCCUAUAUGUAAAUGAAUAUAUAUAUAUAGAAAAAUCCCAAAAAUGGGUAACGAUAGAGCAAAUAUAAGAGUAAUAAAAGAGAGAAGAAGACCAUGAUGUGGAUAGAGGUAAGUCUGCCUCCAGGAGAAAAUGUGAUCGCCAGGAUUCAACUGUGUACGAUCAAUCUUAUUGGAAAGCAGUCCCAUUUGUGUGUUAUGCCAGCAAUGGGUAGAGGUGAAGAAUGGAAAAUGGAUGAUAGAAAAAAGGAAUGAACAUUAACAUGGAUAUAUAAGAACGAGAACAAGUUCUUAAAUUCCACCCCAGAGAAACGCAAUCGCUUCCUUCCACUUCUUCAUUGUUCAGGCAAACGAGGUGACAUUUGGAGUUCUCUAUAGGAUGCAUUCAUUCAUUCUAGUGUAGCAGUAUUUGAUGGGACGUUGUAUUUUCCAAUAAAGAUCAUAAAUAGCUCAGUGGCAAUGCUAAUUAAGGUGCACCAAAUUAGUCAUUAUUUUAGGCAAACUGGCAAAGUAUACUAUAGAGGUGUGUUGAAGAACAUAUUACAUAUCACUUCAAAGUUUGAUGGCUAUGGAGGCACACUCGUUUUUUCAAUUUUCAAGAUAAAAUAAAUUAAAAAGCAUAUUCUUUUUAUGUAUAAAGGUCGUAGAAGCUCAUGAGUUGCAAGGUCGUAGCAUUUAUUUUUCAUCAGAUUAAUGCAAGGGAUACUACCUCCUGGUUUAUUAAGAAUAUCUCUUUUGUUUGGAGUGCUUAACAUAAGUUGCGUAAACUAGUGUCAGCAUGAAAUUUCAAAAUGCCCUUGUAUUAUGCUGGCUUACAGCAUCUCAGGUUUCAAUCAAUUCAUAGUUGAUCUUGAUAAUUUGAAAUGCUUGGCAACAAUGAACAUGAUAUGUUCUUCAUCUAAAUAAACUCGGUCGCCUCAUUCCUCAACUCUCAGCCCCAUGUAUCUUAUAAUUUGUAUCUUAUAUUAAGAAUAUCUCUUUUGUUUGGAGUGCUUAACAUAAGUUGAACUGUUGAAGUGGUUUUACAUGGGGUGUAAACUAGUGUCAGCAUGAAAUUUCAAACUGCAAAAUGCCCUUGUAUUAUGUUGGCUUACAAGCGUCUCAUUUUUCAAUUCAUAGUUGAUCUUGUAAACUUGAAAAAUGAUUGGCAACGAUGAACAUGUUCUCCAUCUAAAUUAACUUGAUCUAAUAAUUGAUUGCAUCAAUUGCAGACAUCAAGGCCUGAGUACAAUCAAAUGUUUGUAAAGAAGCCUGGUGGACCAGAAUUUUGGCCUUUUUAGAAGGAUGGAUACUUGUUCAGGUUGGCCUUCUUUGCCCGACCUGUGAUGCUUUGGAAGAUUUCCUUUUGUAGUUGUAUCUUUAUGUAACUAGUAGGCGAAACAUGUGAAAGUAUCACAUUCCACUUAGUUGUAUAACAAAAUAAAGCAAAAAGGUUUACAGCAGUUUGUUUUUUCCUCUUGCUGUCUCUAUUUCAUCUUGAUGGGGCUUUUGUCUCCUUAGAUGUGUAAUUUCCCCUAGCUUAGAGAAUAGAGAUAGAAGUGUUGGUACGGCUAUCUGCACUCAAAUCUCAGAUGUGGUUUAGGGUUUACUAAAUUCCAUAACCUUAUGGUAUAUUUGUG
rnacentral:lncRNA from 1 species